rnacentral:ncRNA from 1 species
GCAAUGCGGGAGAGAACGGGUCAGGCGACUCGUCACCGAAGGCGCAACCGCCCGGAAACGCUCAGGUCCACGGACCGCUUU